rnacentral:rRNA from 1 species
AUGUGCAUGUCCAUGCGGCCCCGCCGGAUCAGCGCCGGGUCCAGCUUGUCGAGGUGGUUGGUGGUAAAGACGAUGAUGCGCUCGCCGCUGUGCGCCGACCAGAGCCCGUCGAUGAAGUUGAGGAGGCCGGACAGCGUGAGGAUGUUGCGCCUCUUGCCGCCCGACUUGUCGUAACCUCCCUCGGCGGCGUCGUCCAUGGUGGCGCGGCUGCCGGUCAGGUCGAUGGAGCAGUCGAUGUCCUCGAUGACGAUGAUGGACUUGCCGGUGGUCUCGAUGAAGAGCUUGCGAAGGUCGCUGUUGGUCUCCAGGGUGGUGAGCUCGAUGUCGUAG